rnacentral:rRNA from 1 species
GACGAACGCUGGCGGCGCGCUUAACACAUGCAAGUCGAACGGAAAGGCCUGCUUUCCCUUGUGGAUUGCGGGUACUCGAGUGGCGAACGGGUGAGUAACACGUGAGUGAUCUGCCCCCAACUUGGGUAUAAGCCUGGGAAACUGGGUCUAAUUCCCGAUAGGACUGCAGGGUGGUGCCUGUGGUGGAAAACGAUUUUCUAGUGGUUGGGGAUGAGCUCGCGGCCUAUCAGCUUGUUGGUGGGGUAAUGGCCUACCAAGGCGGCGACGGGUAGCCGGCCUGAGAGGGUGGACGGGCACAUUGGGACUGAGAUACGGCCCAGACUCCUACGGGAGGCAGCAGUGGGGAAUAUUGCACAAUGGGCGGAAGCCUGAUGCAGCGACGCAGCGUGGGGGAUGACGGCCUUCGGGUUGUAAACUCCUUUCGACCGCGAGGAAGCCACCUGGUUGGAAGGGUGGUGACGGUAGUGGUAGAAGAAGCACCGGCUAACUACGUG